rnacentral:lncRNA from 1 species
AAGAAGAGCCCACAAUUGCUUUCCAAAGCCCCACACGUGGCCCGGACCCAAGUUAUUUCACAGGGUUGCAACCAAGGGCAUGGACAUCCUGGGUCAAUUCUACUGCUCGGCUACCCCCUAAACCUCUUUGGAAGGGUUUAAUGGCUUUAAUACUUGAUAGAAGAAAUGAAAACUCUUCAACAGAACUUCUUUGGACCCCACAGAUGCAAGAUCUUUGGAUAUAGAGACUGAUAUGACACACCUCCUCCCCCACAGCUGGCUUUCAGAAUUCAGAAGAGCUGGGGAAAGCAUCCUUGAUUUUGGACUUCUAACAUCCAGAGCUACAAGAAAAUAACCUCUGAUGUGCGAUGCCACCUAGUUCUGCUCACUUCUCCUAGAACCUCUGGGAAACUAAAAGGAAGGGUGGGGCUGGAGGGUUGCAAUUCAGCUUUCUGCUGCCUCUGCCUGGAACUCAAGCCUGACUGUGCCACAGUGACGGAAACGGGUCACGUGACAGUUCACCUUGCUAAAGACAGCAGUGCAAAUGUAGUUGCUGCUAAGACCAGAAAUCUGGUAAGCAGUGCUACAGGAAAGGAGCCACUGUACUUUGGCCAACCUUAGUAAUUCUUACUCCAAAGGAUAAUGUGUGUCUGUAUUUGUUUGUUUAGUCCUUCAAGUGAUACAUGGUGAAAGAGUACAAAUGUGCAAGCUGAGAGUGCUUUGUUUUAACUAAUAGACCAUCAUUCAUUCACUCAUUCAGCAGGUACUUACUAAGCACAAGCUAUGUACCAAGAAUUGAACAAAGCACUCGAUUUUGGCUGACCAAAUCACUAGGAAUGUGGAGAAGAGCAUGAUGGAGGACUGAGAGAAGUCACCAUCCAUCUCCUGAAGGCAGAGCACUGCAGAAUCCUUGUGGGCAGUCAAGAGAAAGAAGGGCAGGAACUAUUGGGAGUGGGGAGGAAGGAGGAACCUCACUGUGGUAACUGGCUCGCAGGAGGGACUCUGGUGCUUACAUGGGAUUGGACAAAGGCAGGCAGGGCGAGGGGGAGCAGCUGAGCUAAAGAAAGAAAUGGCCAACCAGUGGCUUCUUGUUGGACUUUAAAAUUUUUUCAUUUCAUAGAAUGUAGCCACAAUGACUAGGAUUUAGUAGAAACUGGGAAAACGUUGACACAUUGCUUUUUGUUGUCUAUCUAUCUGUCUUAGUCAGGGUUUCUAUUCUUGUACAAACAUGAUGACCAAGAAGCAAGUUGGGGAGGAAAGGGUUUAUUCGGCUUACACUUCCAUACUGCUCUUCAUCACCAAAGGAAGUCAGGACUGGAACUCAAGCAGGUCAGGAAGCAGAAGCUAAUGCAGAGGCCAUGGAGGGAUGUUACUUACUGUCUUCCUUCCCCUGGCUUGCUCAGCCUGCUCUCUUAUAGAACCCAAGACUACCAGCCCAGAGAUGGUCCCACCCACAAGGGGCCUUUCCCUCUUGAUCACUAAUUGAGAAAAUGCCUUACAGUUGUAUCUCAUGGAGGCAUUUCCCCAACUGAAGCUCCCCUCUCUGUGAUAACUCCAGCUGUGUCAAGUUGACACAAAACUAGCCAGUAUUCUAUCUAUCUAUCUAUCUAUCUAUCUAUCUAUCUAUCUAUCUAUCUAUCUAUUAUUUAUUUUUUAUGUUCUAUCUAGCCAUGCCUGUUUCUGUAUUGCCCGUGUCUGCUUUUUACUGAGUACUUGUGAGACCACAUGAUUGGAAAAGCCAAAAAAUAUCUUCUAUCUGCUAGUGUAGAGAAAGCUUGCUGAUUCCUCGUUGUGUGUGUGUGUGUGUGCGCAUUCGUGGGCACACACUGCGUCUUUGCAUGUGGAGGCCAGGGGACAGCCCCAGCUGACAUUCUUCAAGAGCCUUCUACCUUCUUUUCUGAGAUAGGGUCUUUCACUAGGCCUGGGACUCACCGGGUAAGCUAGGUUGGCUGGCCAGCGAGCCCCAGAGAUCUGCCUGUCUCUGCCUGAGAUGAUAUGUGUAUACUAUACCAUCGCUGGUCCAGCUUAUUUUGCACGGGUUCUUGUGAACAAACACAGUGGAUGAUGUGUGUAUACCACCCAUCAGUCUGGCUUGCUUCACAUUGGGUCCUAGUGAGCAAAUUAGUUUGUUGUGCUUAUGACUGGGCUAUUUUCCAGCUCUGUUGUUUCUAGAUUCAUGUGUUUAAAAAAAAAAAAAGAGCCUAGAGUCUCUGUACUGUCUCAUACUGCAGUUUUACAAACUCUUACUGAUCUUGCCUCCACUGUCUUUGCUUGAACUUCCUGUGAGAUGUACUGCGCAGACUCCAACUCACUGAUGUAAUCCACAUUCUUUUGGACUUUCGGAUAUUGCCCAAAGUUCUGGCUUACUGAUUGCUAUUUUGCAUAUUAACCUUACUAUAACUGAUUCCAAUGAUCCAGCACACAGUAGAUGCUUCAUCAAGAGUGAUGAGGUUAUCAAAGAAAGAUCAAGAAACACAGGCCUUGCUCUCCAUCUUGCACGGAAAGUGUCAGGCAUUUUCUCAGCCACAGAAGAGGAAACUGUUCCAGACGCUUCCUCACAUGGCUCUGUUGUUAAGAGUGACUCUGGCUUUGCUGAAACCUUACUUUGCAUGCGUCUUUUUCUUAUGGCUUAUUAUGGUAACACAAUAGGUGGGCCCGGUAAUUUCAUUACUGGGUUUUAUUUGCCUUUGUGUAAAUGACUUUUCAUUUAGAUUUGUUCCAAAAAAAAAGUCAAAUGAAAUAAGAUGGAUAUUCUCCUUUCUACUUUGCCUUCAUCCUUUAUUGAGGCACUGUUCCACGUGGCUCUUCUUGUUAAACCUAUAAUAUCAUCUGUGCUAUCAUUCUAAAAUAAUAACCGUAUUUUAAAUGUGACAUGAAAAAGGAAUGGCUUUUAUAAUUCUAAAUAAGAUGUCUAUUUUAAUCUAGUUCAAUGCUGAUGAUUUUCUCUUUAUUUAAAAAAAAAUAAUAAAUCACCAGGAUUCAAUGUGAACGCC